rnacentral:rRNA from 1 species
CGCGUAGGCGGCCUGGUAAGUCAGAUGUGAAAGCCCGGGGCUUAACCCCGGAAGUGCAUUUGAUACUGUCAGGCUUGAGUAUGGGAGAGGGAAGUGGAAUUCCUGGUGUAGAGGUGAAAUUAGUAGAUAUCAGGAGGAACACCGGUGGCGAAGGCGACUUCCUGGACCAAUACUGACGCUGAGGCGCGAAGGCGUGGGGAGCAAACAGGAUUAGAUACCCUGGUAGUCC